GAAAUAUUAGAAGUUCCAUCUCCAGUAGUUACCGAUUUCAACCAUGAGACCUCAAAGAAUUCAGAUGAAAGCAAUGAGUCUAGCUUGAGUUUCUCGGUACAACGCCCCAUUGCAGAGAUCCAACCUGACGAGGAGAUGAGUAUCUCAUCAGCUGCAUGGGUGGAAGUCGAACACCCUGAAGUUUCCGCUUCCUGUGACAAUGGCCUCCCAGAACCUACCAUGUCCCCUGGACUUGCACCGAUGGCUUCAACGAGUCCACACAUUCGCCAUUCAUUAUCACAAAUGCUGCUAGCUGAUAAUAGCGAAUCCGAUAUUGUUGAGUGGGGAAAUGCUGAGAUCCCUCCUGCCUUGGUCUAUCAAAAA
rnacentral:misc_RNA from 1 species